AAUUGAAACAAAGCAAAACAAGAACCCAAAGAGCCAAGAGACCAAAAGGCAAAGGUGUCAUGAGGUGGAUGAAUUGUGUGGUUCUUGUUUCUUCUCCUUUUCUUCUUUGGUUCGUUUAUAAUGAAGUGGAACGGAAGCAUGAAACGAACCAAAGGAGAAAAAGAGAGAAGAAAGCGAACCACGUGUUCCUUUUGUUGUGUGUGCUUUCUUUUAAUUAAAUUCACGCAUUUCUUUUGUAAUUUAAUUAAAAGAAAGACAACAACAAAGGGAACAACA
rnacentral:ribozyme from 1 species